UCCAGUGGUUGUCAGCUAUCCAGGCUUGUAUGAUGCCUGGGAUGGUGUUACACUGCUGGAAGAGCAAGCACUGGCUCCACUGAGGUUUGGCCCCCUGCACUGUUUUGGUGCUGGGGUCAAGAACUCUGAGCAGUGUUUUGCACCUCUGAGAGUGGAAUGACUCCUCCUGUGGAGUUAGUCCUAGUCUGGGUGCAAACAGU
rnacentral:snoRNA from 13 species